AUUGAACGCUGGCGGCAUGCCUUACACAUGCAAGUCGAACGGCAGCACGGGAGCAAUCCUGGUGGCGAGUGGCGAACGAGUGAGUAAUAUAUCGGAACGUGCCCAGUCGUGGGGGAUAACGCAGCGAAAGCUGUGCUAAUACCGCAUACGAUCUAUGGAUGAAAGCGGGGGACCGCAAGGCCUCGCGCGAUUGGAGCGGCCGAUAUCAGAUUAGCUAGUUGGUGGGGUAAAGGCCCACCAAGGCGACGAUCUGUAGCUGGUCUGAGAGGACGACCAGCCACACUGGAACUGAGACACGGUCCAGACUCCUACGGGAGGCAGCAGUGGGGAAUUUUGGACAAUGGGCGCAAGCCUGAUCCAGCAAUGCCGCGUGCAGGAUGAAGGCCUUCGGGUUGUAAACUGCUUUUGUACGGAACGAAACGGUGAGCUUUAAUACAGUUUGCUAAUGACGGUACCGUAAGAAUACGCACCGGCUAACUACGUGCCAGCCGCCGCGGUAA
rnacentral:rRNA from 1 species